rnacentral:misc_RNA from 1 species
CAACCCUCAAGCCCCGCUUGGUGUUGGGCGGGUCCUCCGUCGGACCCGCCCGAAAGCUGUAGGCGCCGCCGCCUGGCCCGUCCGCGUAGCAAGCUGACGCGAGCGCGGGGGUCAGGGCGGGGGCCGCCGCCCUUUUUCUCAA